AAAAAAACUAAAAAGUAAAUAUUUUUUAAAUGUAGAAAUUAUUUACUGUACAAUUACCUUAACUACCUCAUUAAGAUAAUAAGUUACCAUUAUUUGACUUAUAAAUAUCCUACUUCUUACAGAAUUCCUGGGAGCACCUUUUCAAGAUCAAAUCGAAUGUAACUGCCUACACAAAUGAACAUAUGCCAGGAAACCUAUUUCUUUUGGGAGUUGUGCAAAAGCUAGCAGACAGUAGUCAGUGAAAAAAAAAAAAAUAAGAGAAUCAUGUUACUCAUGUUACUGAAGCACUUCAGUGCCAACUGAAGAUGAUCUAUCACUCCUGAUGAAUUUGAUUUAAUAUCACCUCUCUUAAACUUUCUUUAUGGUUAUCUUAAUUAUUUGGAUUUCUAUAUUAUAAAAAUCAUGAACUGUUAAUAGCAUUCAAUAAUUUGAAAAAAAUGAAAGUCACAUAAAACAAAAUCCAGAGAAUCAAAUGCCUAGUUCUGAUAUUCAAUUAUUGUCUGUCAUCUGAAAUUAUUAGGAAAAGGUAAUUUUAGGAAAUAAGCACACUUUCAUUCAUAGCAUAUUCAUUUGAAAUUUACUAAAGCAUACAUUGCUUACCAAACACAACCAUUGCUAAAGCUAGUUGUUUGUUACAGAUUUUUAGGAUUAUACCUGGGAGAAAAAAACAAAAAACAACAAAAUCUCUAAAACCAGAUCUUCCCUCAAACUUGUUUAGAGAUGCAAAUAGUAAACAUCAAUACUGGUUCCUCA
rnacentral:lncRNA from 1 species